GACGAAGGGGGCUAGCGUUGUUCGGAAUUACUGGGCGUAAAGAGCGUGUAGGCGGCCAGACAGGUCCGUUGUGAAAACUCGAGGCUCAACCUCGAGACGUCGACCGAAACCAUCUGGCUAGAGUCCGGGAGAGGAGAGUGGAAUUCCUGGUGUAGCGGUGAAAUGCGCAGAUAUCAGGAGGAACACCGGUGGCGAAGGCGGUUCUCUGGGCCUUACCUGACGCUGAGGAGCGAAAGCCAGGGGAGCAAACGGG
rnacentral:rRNA from 1 species